CGGCCGGCAGCAAGGAGGCAGGCCCGGCUGGGGACACGGAGCCGCCAGCGGCUGCCGCUCACAGGGGACCAGAGUGCGCGGCCAGGCCCUCCCACCGAGAGCCGGCGGGCCCCGGGACACCCCACCCUCCUCCGCCUUCCCGUUCCACCUGCUUCUCUCCAUCCUCUCCUCCCACCUCAUCUCGCCACCUCGUCUGCCUCCCUUCUUGGUCUCACCAGGGCUGCCAGUUGCUCUGUCCUCGCUAGCCCCUUCAUUGACCGGCCUCUCCUGGCCCUCAAGCAUGCUUUUCCCGUGGGGACUGAGGGGUUGAGGACUCCCGGCCCUAGCCUCAUCCAGGGCAGGGCCAAGGCUCUGGGGGGAGGGGGGGAAGGGGGCGGCCCCCUCCCCCCCAGCAGGCCCUCCCCUCCCCCACUUCCCCCCGAUGGCCGGCUUUCUUUUCUCCACUCAGUCCUCACCCCCAGUGCCCCCCCCAGGCCGGCCCGGCUAGGGGAGGGGGCGGGGGCCCUUUCCUGGGCCGGCUUCCCCCUCCCCCGGCUUUGCCUGUGCCCCCCUCCCUUCCGUUUUCACCUUCCUCUCCUCCUUUCCUCCCUCCUUCCCCUCCGUUUGCUCCUUCCCCCUCUCCUCUCUCCCCUUCUCUCCUCCAUUUUCUCCUUUCCCCUUCCUCCCCUCCUGGCCCGCCCUUUGCUUUUCCACCUGUCCUUCCUCCCCGCUGCUGGGGAGACACCGUUUUGGAUUAGUUGGGGGCCACCGCCGGCGGCGGGGGAGGGGGCCCAGUGGACUGCCCUCUCCCCCGGCCCCAGCCUCACCAGCACCCAGCAUCGGAGCACCUCCUGGUUGUCGUUCCUCGGGCCUCGAGGGAGCCCAGCCCUCCGUCCCACCAGGAUCCGUAAGUGUCUGCAGGGCGGGGAUUGGGCUGGGUCCUGGGUCCUGGAAGGCCAGGCUCCCUGUCCGGCUGUCGGGGGCCCCCACAGUCCCUGCUCCCCGUGGAUGGCAAGGAACCUAUUCCUCGCUGCUUUGUGCCCUCCCUCUCAACCUCUCAUUCUCCACGACCUCUUCUUUUCUCACCCUUACUUCUGGGUACACACCUCACACCUGCCCUCAGUCCCAGCUUUCCGGGGUCCUGUGGUAGCCAGCUCACUUCACUGGCUCCUGGAUUGUCCCUCCUCCAAGCUUUGGGUCCCAGACCCACACUGGCUCCUGACUUCUUGUGUGUUGUUGUGUGUUGGGUUCUCUCUCUCUCUCUCUCUCUCUCUCUCUCUCUCUCUCUCUCUCUCUCUCUCUCUCUCUCUCACCUCUUUCACUAAGCCUUACCAUAGGCCCGGUCCCAUUGCACCUUCUGUCUGUCUUCUGGAGAUGCCUUUACAUUUUCAAGUCUGUAUUUCGCCUGUCUCCCAGGCCUGUCCAACUCUGCCCAACUUCUCUGUUCUCCGCUGUUCUCCUAAGCCAGGCUCUGCAUCUGACUCUGAUGAGACACUAGUUCUCAUCUAG
rnacentral:lncRNA from 1 species